ACGGCCAUACCAUGCUGAAUAUACCGGUUCUAGAUCAACCGAAGUCAAGCAUCAUUGGGCGCGGUCAGUACUUGGGUGGGUAACCACCUGGGAACACCGCCUGCCGU
rnacentral:rRNA from 1 species